UUAUAGAGUAUCUUCAGUACAUGUCCAUCAGCAUAUGUUUACGGAGAUCAGUGCCCUCAUACUGACUCACAUCAGCCCAGAGUUUACCUGGUAGCUUCAGCCCCAGCCCUCUUGGUAAGUUUCUGGAUGAACUCUGGCUGAUUCGCUAUGCAAUAAUCACAAAAGAGAGCACCCUAGACUGAAGAGAUGUGGUAUAUACUAUUUCCCAUGUGACAGCUGGCUGCUUUUUAGCAGGCGAAAGGUGGCAAGAGACUCUCAUUGCCCUUGCCCCCCACGGUGGUGUUGGUGCCUUUGCUACCAGCACAAGACUGGACCUGUUUCUGUACUCAGAGAGCAAAGAGGGCUGCCAAGAGCUGAUGACUGCCAAGGAUAUGUGAUGACUAGGAAUGCAACGAGCUUGCACGGUGGACCACAACAUAGCAUAGAGAUGAUUCAUGGGCUGGAGACUUUCUGCACAUGCAAGGUCCAAGGUCUCUCAAAUUCAUCCAGCUUCACAGACCUGCUUCCUACCUGUGCUCAUAUCGGGAAAGAUGCCAAAACAGCUGGGAGAUGAAUUAUCUAUUUAUUUAUUCAAUACAAAUACUUCCUUCUUUGACCUGGCGAAAUCUGGUACUACUACUCCUUGACCUCUGAGCCUGCUGUCCUAAUCCUCACUUCCAGGGGCAGGGCUGAGCUGCAUCACCAAGGGAACGUUUGGAUUCUCCUGCGUUUGCUUGCUCAGUUUGCCUCUGUGGAGCUAUGAGACAGACAAGCAGUGCACCAAAAUGAUGGAGAAUUUCAAUUAUAAUAAGGGACUCCUUGCAGUCUUCCUGAUGUAAACUGCACCAGUAAAGCAUAAAAGCAGGGUAUGAAAGGAAAAGUUAAUCCUGGGAUCUUCAAAGCAAAACCAAGUGACUUCAGUCAAAAUUAUUUGGACAUGGAGAAAAUCCUGAUAACUACUGUCACACACACAGAGUGACACAUGGACAUGUCCACUUACUUUGACUUUUGAGAAGUGGCAGAGGAGGAGGAAACACAAGUACCAGAUCAAAAGAGCAAGAGUUUUCAAGUUGUCAGCAUGACUGUGUCCCCCAGCAGGAAAUCCUCCGAGAUUCACAGUUGUAUUUAGGAGCAUGGAAGAGGUGGUGGACAGCCCAAAGAUCCAGAGACCACCUUAUGUUUCUAACCCUUUCUUGUAAUAUUAUCUCUUCUCAGUCUUUACAUUAUCAUUUUGGACAGGUUUCUCCGAGGCUCAUCCUGUCUUAUUUUUAAUGAAUAAAAAAAGAGCUGUUCUUUGAAUUGGGAAUAUUUUUGUUAUCCAGAAAAUACCAUUAUAAAGUGAGUUGCUUUGAACUUUCAGCUUUCUGGUUUUGAUGGUGGAAGAACAUAAGAAAGCCACUUCAAAAUACACCUUCUGAGGCCAGAGACAAACUUGACCUCUUCUCAAACACUUCUGCUUUGCUCAAAGAGGCUGACCCAUGGGAUCGAUGCCAAAGGAAGGUGCUCAGGGCCCAGGGUCUGGGAUGCUGAACAUGGCACUUUUUCAAGGUGAAAUAGCAACACAGAAGGAGGAUAUUUUUAUAAGUAGAAGUACUUGCCUGAUUCUCCUGUCACUGCUCAAUGACUUGCAUUUAUAUAUACUAUUUAAAGAUUCGUUAAAUGCAUAAAUAUGUGUAGUCUGUGACACGCAGCUCAACAGAUAUUAAAAGAUCCUAGCCUGUGGUUAUGAUUUAA